rnacentral:rRNA from 1 species
UACGUAGGGUGCGAGCGUUGUCCGGAAUCACUGGGCGUAAAGGGCGCGUAGGCGGCCUGGUAAGUAGGGGGUGAAAUCCUGCGGCUUAACCGCAGGGCUGCCUUCUAAACUGUCAGGCUAGAGCACGGUAGAGGCAGAUGGAAUUCCCGGUGUAGCGGUGGAAUGCGUAGAGAUCGGGAAGAACAUCAGUGGCGAAGGCGGUCUGCUGGGCCGUUGCUGACGCUGAGACGCGACAGCGUGGGGAGCAAACAGG